rnacentral:rRNA from 1 species
AACGAGCGAGAGAGAGCUUGCUUUCUCGAGCGAGUGGCGAACGGGUGAGUAACGCGUGAGGAACCUGCCUCAAAGAGGGGGACAACAGUUGGAAACGACUGCUAAUACCGCAUAAGCCCACGGGUCGGCAUCGACCAGAGGGAAAAGGAGCAAUCCGCUUUGAGAUGGCCUCGCGUCCGAUUAGCUAGUUGGUGAGGUAACGGCCCACCAAGGCAACGAUCGGUAGCCGGACUGAGAGGUUGAACGGCCACAUUGGGACUGAGACACGGCCCAGACUCCUACGGGAGGCAGCAGUGGGGAAUAUUGCACAAUGGGGGAAACCCUGAUGCAGCGACGCCGCGUGGAGGAAGAAGGUCUUCGGAUUGUAAACUCCUGUUGUUGAGGAAGAUAAUGACGGUACUCAACAAGGAAGUGACGGCUAACUACGUGCCAGCAGCCGCGGUAAAACGUAGGUCACAAGCGUUGUCCGGAAUUACUGGGUGUAAAGGGAGCGCAGGCGGGAAGACAAGUUGGAAGUGAAAUCCAUGGGCUCAACCCAUGAACUGCUUUCAAAACUGUUUUUCUUGAGUAGUGCAGAGGUAGGCGGAAUUCCCGGUGUAGCGGUGGAAUGCGUAGAUAUCGGGAGGAACACCAGUGGCGAAGGCGGCCUACUGGGCACCAACUGACGCUGAGGCUCGAAAGUGUGGGUAGCAAACAGGAUUAGAUACCCUGGUAGUCCACACCGUAAACGAUGAUUACUAGGUGUUGGAGGAUUGACCCCUUCAGUGCCGCAGUUAACAC